AUUGAACGCUGGCGGCAGGCCUAACACAUGCAAGUCGAGCGGAGCGGCGGACGGGUGAGUAAUGCCUAGGAAUCUGCAUGGUAGUGGGGGAUAAAGUACGGAAACGGGCGCUAAUACCGCAUACUGUCAGAUGGGCCUAGGUGGGAUUAGCUAGUUGGAGGGGUAAAGGCCUACCAAGGCGACGCUCCGUAACUGGUCUGAGAGGAUGAUCAGUCACACUGGAACUGAGACACGGUCCAGACUCCUACGGGAGGCAGCAGUGGGGAAUAUUGCACAAUGGGCGCAAGCCUGAUGCAGCCAUGCCGCGUGUAUGAAGAAGGCCCUAGGGUUGUAAAGUACUUUCAGUCGGGAGGCGUUACCGACAGAAGAAGCACCGGCUAACUCCGUGCCAGCAGCCGCGGUAAUAC
rnacentral:rRNA from 1 species